GUCACAGCAUACUGAGUGCAUCUCAUUCAUUUAUGGGACAAUAUGGAGCUCAUCUGGUUCAUAUUCACUUUACUGCUGACUGUCUAUAAAUCCAAUGGAGAAAUCCGCCAAGAGCCAAUAAUCUUUGCCAACAGGAGUUCAGAUGUGCCACUGACAUGUCAACAUGAUAAUUCUGACCAUUACAGAUUGUUCUGGUACAGACAAGCAAAGGGGACUGUGGGUUUGUCUUUAUUGGUAUAUUCUGCUGGCCCAAAUCAGGCAAAUAUUGAAGAACCAUUUAAAACUCAAGGUUCUAAGUAUGCAGCAACCCGUCCUGUAAUAGGGAUGUCCACGCUGCAGAUUAACAGACUAGAGACUGAAGACUCAGCUCUCUAUUAUUGUGCCACGAGCACACAGUAAUAUAUUACAGCUGCACGGCUAAACAACAACCACAAAGUUAACACUGCGCAGUUCAUUCAGCUCUCAUUUAUGAUGUAAUUUCCUGUUCCUUUUGAUCAUAGACACACUAAAUAGGACAGUCAAAAUAAAUCUAGAAGGGGUGAGAGACAGCAAGGAGCGGAUUCUCCUCUUUCAUAACAUGGGCCUGCUUUGUUUGGGGUUUAUUUUGCUGCUAGUUAUUAAUUCAUUAGGAGGAAUAACCAUCAUUCAGAAUGAUCAAGUUAGUAAAACUCAAGUGAUUAUUCAACGGGAUAAACAGGUUAUUUUAAAAUGUAACCACGAUGAUAGCAGCUAUUAUUAUAUGUACUGGUACAGACAGAGAGGUCAAGGUGAACUGUCCCUUGUUGCUAUUUCUCUUGCUAAAGAUUCAACAGAAAUAGUUGCCCCAUUCUCAAAAACUAAAUACACAAUGGAACGUCCUGAAACUAAAGAAUCUUCACUGGAGAUCAAGGAUCUAGCAGAGGAGGACUCGGGUAUUUAUUUCUGCGCCUCAAGUAUUGCACAGUACCUUAACUUAGCCAAGCACCUGAACAAUAACCUCAGCCUGAGCCACAAUGAUCAGAGAGAAAAUACAUUAUUAUCAAGCUGGUUGUGGGAUAUACUUUCUUUAAUCUCCUUUUACAAAAUUCAUAUGCACACCCUUUAAACAAUAGAUGGAGGAAUGAUGACAUAAUAUAAAUCUAAUAAAU